rnacentral:lncRNA from 1 species
CCAAAUCUUCCCAAUUAAAUCACACAAAGCCAAACUGCCCCAUCCCAGUACGAAAUGCAUAAAUCCGGUUUGUCUUCUAAAUAUACCAAACGACGUUGUUCCUGUGCCUAAUUGUGGCCCUUGAUUUCUGAUGUAACGCACAAGAAGUGUCCUAGGUUAAUUCGUAUAUAGGUGUCCGAAUCACAUACCCCACCCUCAUUCAUCAUCCCAAACCACCCCUAAUUGGCUCUGCGUAACACCAUCACUCGCUGCCGCCGGAAAUCGUCCACGGCGGCGGCCCACCUCCAAAUGCCACCAAAUUAACACCUAUACUCCUCUUCUCUUCCUCUAUCCGAAUCCAUCAACCAUUACCUUCAAAUCCCGGCCGAUAGCAUCGAAUAUCAUAUCGAAAGAUUUUCGGCUAUGACGCAACUUCAUCCAAACUCGCCCAAAUUAACACCCUGGAUCCCUCUUCCCUUCCGCUAUCCAAAUCCAUGUCUAUUUUUUCCUCGAAACUGCCUGGAGCAUCUCAAAUCUUGAAUAAAAAUUUUCACACAAAAACCCUAAUUUCCCAAAACUUUGCCAAAUGGAUAUCAUGCAACCUCCCUGUCUAUUUCAUGGAGAAUUCAGCGGAAAUGAUACUCAAGUCUCACUCGAAAUGGAUUAAGUUCAAAUCUAGGAGCUGACCAGCCUGUAAAUUUCACCAAUGAGUUCCUCUAUUUUGUUUUGCCUUUUCUUUUUCUCUUUUAGUUGUUAAUAAGCAUUAAUCUGAAAAUUAAUAAAGUCUUUUCCAGUUUUUAUUUCGUUCUACUCUGGUCAUAGGUUUAAUUUCUAGUUUAGUUUUUGUUUUUUUUUGUUUAAAUUUGCUAAUUGAAUACAUUUGGGUAUUAAUUUAGUUUAGUUCUACUUGAUUUUGAAUGCCAUGUGUCCUUCAAUAAUGGUUAAGUUUAUUAUAGUUCUAGUUGGGUCCAUUAGUUGUUAGUCUACUCGUAAUUAAUGACUGUGUUAAUUAGUUUAGCAAUUGAAUUGAGUUCUUCUGAUCCAUGAUUUUCUUCAGUUUUAUUUUCUUUUGAGUAAUGGUUAAGAAUUAGUUUAUCUGAUAAGUUCAUAGCUGAAUGAAUUAGAUCUUAGGUUAAUUUAGGCUAACAAGGGGUUUUGGUUAUUUAAACAGGGAAGUAAUUUCAGGGAUAGUCAAGGGCAACUUGGAUAUUUGAAAUUAGAUAAUAGUGAUCUAGUUAAUACUAGAAAUCCCUAGAUAUUUCUAGAUAGGGGUAUAAGUGGAGUUUUAGGAAGUUUGAGGCAUUAACUUGAGUCACGAGUCAACAAAUAAGGGGUUAAAGUUGAAAGUAAAAAAGGACUGAAAAAGAAAACCUAAUAAUCCGAUAAGUCUUCCGUCAAGACCCCAAUCCCGGUCGUGAUGGCGCCCAACACAAUUGCUAGGCAAGCCCGACCAAAAACGCUCACAACUCAACCACACAACCCAUUUCCAAUUAAAUAAGUUAAGUUUCUACAUAAUUCAACUUCGAUCAGUAAGGUAAAUAGGAACAAUACUAAAAAUCAUGAUAAUACCAAUAAAACUCCCAAAGACCUGGGGUCACGAGUCUAGAGCCUCUAAGCAACUGAGUAACAAUAUUCGAAAAUAUAUAUAAGUCUAGAAUGCGGAAAUAAAACUAAAUAACGGGGAGAAGUCGGGUCCUGCGAACGUCAUGCAGCCACCUCGACAACUCUUGAGAAACUCUGAAGCAGCAAAUAGCUCAACUAUGCUCUAAGGCACCUGAAUCUUCACACAUGGUGCAUGGACUAAUAUGAGUACUUCCAACUCAGUAGCAAUAGACAUAUAUAAUGACUGAAAGUAAGAAUUUUUAAAAGACCACAAUGUAAAGGUGAAACUUACCACUUAGCACAUUUAACGAUGAGGCACCAAUAAACCAAUGACAAAUAAACCGAUCGAUAUCAAUGUGUGAAUGCAAUGCAAUGCACAUGACCGUUGCGGUGUACAUCCUGAUCCAUUGGGUACCCGCGCUCACUAUGGGGGUUCAGACUCUGAAGGGAAUCUUACAGCCCAAGCGCAAUGACAUACUAGCAUUCACUGCGGCAUGCAGCCCGGCCCACAAUUAGUCCAAUCAUAUAUGCAUGCAAGCCACACGGGCACAAUCAAGUUUACCAUUUUCGGUUCCAUUUAACAGUUAUAAUAGUUUAAGUAAUUAAAACCUUAGAAGAUUACUAAUCAUUUCUAGAUAGUAUUUAAUUCAGGACUAAUAUCAUGAAAACUUGCUCAAUAUUAUGAAAACAGGGAUAAUAAUCCCUAAGGGAUCCAAAUAGUUGACACGCAGUCCAUAUACGCUCAUAACAAUCGAAGUAGGAUGUUUACUAGCCAAUUUGUAGUCAAUAACACAGCAUAGACAUCAAGCUGACAGACUAAGCCAUAGUCCCGUCCACAAACGAUCCCACACUCACCGUAGAGUACGUGUCUCGCAUCAAUGCAGCGUGACAAUGUUAUAUACCGGGGUUUCAAACCGUCAAGUUAUCAUCUACAUCUAUUACUCACCUCAAGCCGGUGGAAGACUAUGCCUUUCCCUCUUGAAUCGACCUCCUCGCGAAUCGAAUCGAGUCAAAACCACAAUGAAUAAAUUACUAUAUGCUAAAGAAACAUAACCCAAUCAAAAUACUCGAAAAGCACUAAAAAUCACGAAGUUUGCAAAACCCGAGCCCCUGGCCCACUUCUCGAAAAAUUACGAAAGUUACAUCAACGGAUUUCUCGUCUUGCCACGAGUUCGUACAUAUAAAGUUUACCAAAAUCGUAACUCAAAUGCCCUUCCAAAUCACAAAAAUUCAUAUUCAAAAACCAAGCCCUAGUUCUUCACAAUUUCAACCCACUUUCAUGAAUUUGAGUGUUUAUUCUUCGAUAAAAUGUUUUUUCUAAGCCCAAAGGCUCACCUCCAAUCAAUAUCCGUCGAAAACUUUCUUCAAAUAUACCAAAAAGCUCUUGAAGUGGUGUAAAAAUAGAGGAAAUUAUGAAUGGGUCGCAAAUGAAAUAAUCCUUAAAAGCAUUCUGCCAGGCAAACUUCCUCUUACGCGAUCACAUCACAGCCCACGCGAUCGAAGAGAAUUACCUUCCUCCUUUACGCGAUCGCACGCCUUCACACGUGACCGCAGGACACUGCCCCUUGACCCUUUUUUAUCGCAAACAACCUCACGCGAUCGCACUAGCCAAUCCCCCAAACCUAUACGAUCAUAGACCCCUUUACGCGAUCGCAUAGAGAAAAUCAGAGCCCCCUCUUUUCUAUGUGAUAGCAGCCACAGGCUCACGACCGCGAUGAGAAAAUUUUGUUCUACAAUUUCUGCUGCAAUUUUCCAACUCAAAAAUCCCCGUUAGCCAUCCGAAAUCACCCCGAGGCCCUCGGGGCCUCAAUUAGAAGUACAGAUACGACCUUUUACCUUAUUCAAACUUGCUCGAACCAUAAAAACACUAUCGUUUAGAUCAAAAUCUUCAAGUUUCAUCAAAUCAAGGCUUAAGUUAAGCUAAAACUUUCAAAAUUCUCAUUUAAUCAAAAAGUCGACCUAAACACCUUAGAAUCAACUGAAAAUCUGCACAUGGGUACAAAAUCACCUAACGAAGCUAUUGCAACACUCUAAAUUCCAAUCUGACCCUCGGAUCAAAAUCUCACCAAUCCUCUGAAAUUAGCCGAAAUUCAAACUUAGCCAUUGCAAGCCUAAUUCUACACCGAACCUCCAAAUUCAAUUCUGGUUGCAUCCCCUAGGUCAUAAAUCAUCCCCCAAAACUAAUUGAAUCAUUAGAAUUUACAUCCAAGCCCUCUAACUAAAUAGUCAACUUCCAGUUGUCCUUUGCAAACAAACUCCCAUUAAGAGACUAAAUGUCUCAUUUCCGACUAAGCCAAUCCAAUUCUAUCCUACCAACUCAAAUACUGAUAUCGAAUAAUAGUGAAGCAUAAUAUGAGAAAAACAGGCGGUAACUCAUGUGACGACGGGUUGGGUCGUUGCAGCUUCCUUUGUGCCUAUAAAAGGGCAUAACUCUUGCUUCAUUAAGAAGGUUUUGUCAGUCUCAAAUCUCCCCCCCNNNNNNNNNNNNNNNNNNNNNNNNNNNNNNNNNNNNNNNNNNNNNNNNNNNNNNNNNNNNNNNNNNNNNNNNNNNNNNNNNNNNNNNNNNNNNNNNNNNNNNNNNNNNNNNNNNNNNNNNNNNNNNNNNNNNNNNNNNNNNNNNNNNNNNNNNNNNNNNNNNNNNNNNNNNNNNNNNNNNNNNNNNNNNNNNNNNNNNNNNNNNNNNNNNNNNNNNNNNNNNNNNNNNNNNNNNNNNNNNNNNNNNNNNNNNNNNNNNNNNNNNNNNNNNNNNNNNNNNNNNNNNNNNNNNNNNNNNNNNNNNNNNNNNNNNNNNNNNNNNNNNNNNNNNNNNNNNNNNNNNNNNNNNNNNNNNNNNNNNNNNNNNNNNNNNNNNNNNNNNNNNNNNNNNNNNNNNNNNNNNNNNNNNNNNNNNNNNNNNNNNNNNNNNNNNNNNNNNNNNNNNNNNNNNNNNNNNNNNNNNNNNNNNNNNNNNNNNNNNNNNNNNNNNNNNNNNNNNNNNNNNNNNNNNNNNNNNNNNNNNNNNNNNNNNNNNNNNNNNNNNNNNNNNNNNNNNNNNNNNNCCCCCCGCCCUCAAAAAAAAUUUCCCUAAACCCUGCAGAUCUGAAAUUUAAAUUCAGAUAAAAAAAUCCUCUUAGAUCUAGUUCUGUAUUUAGUAAUUGAAGAUCUGCAAUUACUUUGAUUUGGUAUUUGGAAUUAGAUUGGGUCUAUUUGAGUUAUUGUUUGGUUGUUUAUGUUUCUGAUGUAUAUCUGGAUUGCCUGGGUUCAACUUUGAGUUUAUUUGGGUAGAUUCAAGUGGUUUGUGACUAUUUUUUCCUAAUUGUAUCCUACUCCGAACUUUUUCUGGGUUGUCAAACGAAUUUCUGGGUAAAAUUGGUGUAGUUGGUGUUAUUUGAACUACAAUUUUUGGUUGAUUUGUUGUGUACUACUGUUGCUAAUAUCUCCUUCUUCCUAUUCCUUUCCAGUUUCCAGUUACACAUUCGAAACACUAGCUAAUGUAAUUUGUGAAACGAGAUGCUGAAAUGAAAUGCUAUUUGGAAACUUGUGUAUUCGAUUUAUAAUAGUAGAUUAGUCCUUAGAUAAGUCAUGUUUGUUAGUUUUUUCUUUCAGUUUGUGUCUACCUUGUAUAUUAGAUUGAAAUUUAAGCUGUAAUGGGACUGUCUAGUUUUAAACUUGUGAUUGUUGAAUUUAUUCUUAUGAGCGUAUGAAUUCUCUAGUUAGUUUGGUGUUGCUGGUGAAGUAUAGUGUAGAAACAAAAUCAAUGGUUAUGCAUUUUAAUGUGUUAGUUUCAGUGAUUUAAUUUUUGAAAUUAUGAAAUACUUGAGCAUUUAUUUAGUACUGCUGUCUUUCAAAAAAUAAUGGACCGCUUUGGAUUUGAAUUGCUAAUUGGUUCGUGUAAAAUGUUAAUUCAGUCCACGUCUACGGUUGCUUUUACCCUUAAUAAUAUGUAGUAACUUGUCAGUAUUUAAUUAGUAGGAAAGUCUGAUCAUGAAAUUGGAAAUGAAAAAAAUCAAAUCUUAAUAAUGGAAAUAAGUGUGUACUGCAUAGUAUAUUUGCAUCUUUGAAUGAGAAGCAUGCAUAAUGUGUUAGUCGAGGCUCGAUAGCAUGUUUAAAACUGACGGAGAUUUAGCUAAGCUCAGGUCCUUUUCUGAAUAUCCCCGUCUCGUUUGGACAUGGGCCAAAUCCUACGUUGAGCCAGUUUUUGUGUGUGUCAAUUCGUGCUCCGUUUGUUGACCUUGAGCCUAAAGGCACGUUUACCUUUAUAUUAUUGUUUUAGGCUAAUGACAAACUAAUUAUGACUUUUUCCUUAUACUUUAAAGGCAAUUUAAAUAGAAAAUUAUAGAUUACCUUAAGUUUGCCUCUAAAUAAUAUAACGAGACGAGCCUCGCCAUACAAAAUGAAUAAUUGCGGGGCCCUCGAUAAAUGUUUAUACUAAAAUAAUUAGAUUUCGAGAUGGGUCGUUCAGUGAAUUUCACAACAUUCCCUAAAGAAAAUACUACGCUAGUCUGUCUAGGCACGCUUUUAAUAAUAUUAUAUCCAUAAACACGGGUGCGCAUUCAUGUGACCCAAAUCCAAAUCACAACGGAGUCGAAAUGUCUCAACAGUCACGGGUGCAUUAAUGUGCCGUGGUUCGAGACGUGUUUUCACGAUAUUGUAAUUCUUUUAAAAUAUAAUAAUAAAAGCUGUGUAAAUUUUUAAAAGCACAGAAGUUAAAACUUAUAUUAAAAUCAAUUAUUUAGCCAUUUACAAUAAUUUAAGCGACCGUACUAGAAUCACGGGAUCCGGGGUUGCCUAAUGUGAUGACCCAAAGGGUCAUCACCUAAUUCUCCCUUUUAUCGUGCUUCUGAGGCCUUGAAAACCUCUUAUUUGGUUGGCUCGAUUUGCGUGCAUAGUCCGGGAGCUAAGCCAGAAAGUGGUUACGUGGAAAUAUAUGAAUUUUUGUUAAAAAACUAUGAAUUUUGAGAAUAAUAUAGAUAUAGUUGACUUUGGUCAACAUUUCGGGUAAACGGACCCAGACCCGGACCCGUGAGGUGGCAUUUUCGGAGGGUCCGUAGAAAAAUAUGGGACCCUGACGUAUUUCCGGAAUAAAAAUACGAAGUCCUAGGUUCGAGUACAGAAUUUUUGAAACAGAUUUUUUAUCUGAAAAUGAUAUGAAAAAUUGAAAUGAAAAUGAGUUAGAAAAGUGAUGGUAUCAGGCUCAUAUUUUGGUUCUGACGCUCUAUAUAGGUUUUAAAUGAGUGUUAAGUUCUAUUUGUAAAGUUUAGUUUAAUACGGACGUCAUUUGACCUGUUUCUGACUUGAAAAUGAGAAAUAAGAGUUUUAUGGAAAGUUGGAAGAAAUCAUGUGUUUUGAGCUUUGAUUCUAUGUAAAUGAUGUUAUUUUGGCGAUUUGAUUGCAAAGUAAGUCUGUAGGAUGUUUUUGGGGUUUUGUGCAUGUUAGGGUUGGAGCCCCGAGGGCUCGGGUGAGUUUUGAUAGGCCGCGAGUUCAUUUUUGCAUGUUUGAAAUCUCUAGUGUGCCUAACCUGUAGGCUUCGCAAUUGCAAAGCCAGCCUCGCAAUUGCGUCAUUUUCCCUGAUGCAGCAGGCUUCAUAAAAGCGAAGAAAACAUCGCAUAUGUGAUAUCUGCAUAUUAGCCCAGUCUUCGAAAAUGUGAAGACUUACUCGCAAAUGCGAUUGCCCCAGCCUAAGCCAUGAGUUGGCAAAUGCGAACAUUUCCUCACAAAUGUGAGUUUCGCCAAAUUCUGCCUUGUUCGCAAUUGCAACAUCCGACCCUUCUUAUGCAUAGUUUGCAAUCGCGAACACGUUCUCGCAAAUUCGAGAUCUGCACCUGCACAUUUUUCACUUGGCCAAUUUUGAAGCUACUUUUCAUAUUUUACAAACCCAAACAUCCAUUGGCGAUUUUCUCUCAACUCUCUCUUUUCCAAAUCAAUUGUAAGUCAACUUUUACUCAAUUUCUUCAAUCUUUAACAUCUUUUAUCAUGAUUUCAUCUUAAAAUCAAAGCUUUCAAUAGGUUUACUCAAUUUCUUCAAUCUUUAACAUCUUUUAUCAUGAUUUUACCUUAAAAUCAAAGCUUUCAACGAGUAAAAAUGGGGAUUUGGGAUAGAACCUAGGUUUUCUCAAAAUUGGGGAUUUGAACCUCAAUUUAAGGCCGAUUUCAAAACAAAAAAAAUAUAUAUAUAUAUAUGAACUCGUGGGGGAAUGGGUAACCCGAUUUUGGUUCAAACCUCGGGUUUUCAGCACAUGGGUUCGGGGGAGUUUUGGGAAAUUUUGGUCAAAACUUUGAGAAAUUCAUUCUUAUGCAUUUAAAUUGAUUUAACUAGUAUUUUAUGAUACAUUUGAGUAAAUUAUGAUUAGAUUCCACGAGUUGUAUGGCGAAUUCGAAGGGUAAAGCUAUCCUACAGACGUGAGUUCAAUUUGGAGCUUUCGAGGUAAGUGUUUGAUCUAACUUUGGCUUGAGGGAAUAAGAUUAGAGUUUUCGAUUGAUAAUUGCUAAAUGAUCUAGUACGGUGUAUAGGCAUGGUGAAGAAUAUCUAUACACUGGUGUCUAGCAUGACCGUGAGUCGUAGUUUCUUUUAAAUUCGAAUGAUGUGAAACAACUGAGUUAAUUACUUGCUAAAUAAAUUAUGAAGUGAUAGUUGAGGAGCAAACGAGGUAAAGAAGAAAGUUUGGUAUUUUUCCCUUGCCGAGACUUAUUAUUGAUUCGUUUUCCCUUGCUGGGACUUAUUGUUGAUUUUUUCUCCCUUGCCGGGAUAUUUGGCUGUUAGUUGUACCCUUCCUGGGUUUAACUGUUAUAUUGUCGAUCUUCCCAAAUGGGACCUCCCUUGGAGAGAUUAUUAGAGAUAAUCAAUUAUAAUAUGGGAUCGUGUGGCACGCGACCACUAAUGAAUUAUAAUACGUGAUUGUAUGGCACGCCGACCAUAACUUAUUUGGAUCUGUUCGUUAUUUUAUUAGAGAUAAUCAAUUAUAAUAUGGGAUCGUGUGGUACGCCGACCACUUAUGAAUUAUAAUACGGGAUCCUGUGGCAUGCCAGCCACAACUUAAAUUGAUGAUCGUUAUUGGCCUGAGAUGUCUGUGACAUUGUGCACAGAGAAAAUGGGAUUGUUUGGCGCGCCAUCCACUUAUAUACUACAUUAUGCGAUCAUGUGGCGCGUCGUCCACUGUAGAUAUGUGUGUCAUGAAACCCAAAAUAGAUCUGCUGUUGUUUCUGAUGUUCUAUUUUCAUCUAGUACUCCACCAUAGCAUGUCCCCUCCAAGCUUGUAUUAUUUUGUUAUGUUUCUUUCUCGUACUUCUAAAUCAUAUUGCACUGGUCGAUUAAGGUAGGUCCUGUCCAGCCUCGUCACUACUUCCCCGGGGUUAGGCCAGGCACCUACCAGCACAUGGGGUCAAUUGUGCUGAUGCUACACUUCUAUGCCUUUUGUGCACAUGUCAGGAGAUAGCUUACGGACCGCAGCGGUAUAUUGAGAGCGUGCCUUCAGUCAAGAGGCUCCUAGGUAGUUCGCUGGCGUUCGCGGGCCCUGAGUCUCUUCCAUUUCUUUUCAGUUUGUUAAUUGUAUCGAGACAGACUCUUGUGUAAUUUCUUCCAGACUGAUGUUUUUGGUAUUCCUUAGUAGUCCGUGAGUGGUGACAUCAGAUACUGGGUAGUGACUUGAUACCAACUUCUGUACUUGAAUAUUGUUUUCGUUAAAAGUCUUUCGCGUAUUUAUAAUUAUCUGUUUCAGUUUGUUAUAUUGUUUAGAUUAAAACUUGUGAAGUAUUUAAAAGGGUUGGCUUGCCUAGCUCCAAUAGUAGGCGCCAUCACAACCCCGAUGGUGGUAAAUUCGGGUCGUGACAAGUUGGUAUCAGAGCACUAGGUUGUUGUGGUCUCACAACUCAUGCAAAAGUUCGGUAGAGUCUGAGGGAUCGGUAUGGAGACGUCUGUAUUUAUCCUUCAGAAGCUACAGAGAUAGGAAAAUUUCCACUUUUUUCAUUCUUGUCGUGCAAUUCUAUUUCUCAAAUAUUGAUUGUCGUUCUACUCUGUUCCUUCAUAGAUGGCGAGAACACGUGCGUCUUCUUCUACUGCGCAGCAGCCCGAGUUCCCAGCACCAGCUCCCGCGAGAGGCAGCGGCCGAGGCCGUGGUAGGGGUAGGGCUCAACACUUCUAGAGGUGGAACCUCAUAUUGACUUUGAUGAUGAGGUUCCAGCCUCAACAACUCUAGUGGGCCUAGCUCAGGUUCUAGGAAAGGUUAUGUUAUCCCUGGAUCUCUAGGAUGCUCUUGUCCGUAUAGCAGGAUUUAUGGACAGUGUCACUAGAGCGGGUUUGCUGCCAGUAGUACCAACCACUUCUCAGGCUGGAGGAGGGGUACAGACUCCUGCUACGCGUACUCCAGAUUAGGUAGCUCCCCAGACUCAGGUUCUAGUGGUUCAGCCUGCAGUGGCAGCUCAGACAGGUAUUACAGCUCAGGCCGGUGAUGGAGCGGCCAUGUCUUCGGAUGCUUUGUGGAGACUUGAGCGGAUCUCCAAGCUUUUCACCACCACCUUAAGCAGUUCUUCUACAGAGGACCCCCAGGACUUCAUAUGCAGCAGUCGUGAGGUCCUUCGGACCAUGGGUAUUUGAGACACCAAUGGGGUUGACUUCGCAACUUUUCGCCUCGGAGGAUCCGCCGAGACUUGGUGGAGAGAUUCAUGUUUAGGCAGGUCAGCAGGGUCGACAUCAUUGACCUGGUAUCCGUUUUCCGAGCUAUUUCUAGGUAAGUAUCUCCCAGUUACUUAGAGGGAUUUCCUUCGCAAGCAGUUUGAGCCCCUCCAGCACGGCCUUAUGUCAGUUACAUAGUAUAAGACUCGAUUUAUUGAUCUCGCACAUCAUGCUAUUAUGAUACUCCCCACUGAGAGAGAAAAGGUUAGGAGAUUUGUUGAUGGGACGGUUCAGCCGAUCCGUGUUCAUAUGUCCAUGAGCGUCGGGAGUGAGAUUAUAUUUCAAGAGGCGGCGGAUGGCGCCCGCAAAAUAGAGAUGGCACUUUCUCAGGGAGGUUGUUAGGGGUCUGAUAAGAGACCUCGACAUUUUGGUAUGUUCAGUGCUACCUCAUAUGAAGGUAGAGAUUGACAUGACAAAGGCCAUCCCCCAAGGCCCUUCCAGCCAGCCCUCCGAGUUUCUCAUGGUACUCCAGGCGGUCGGAGUUUUCAGUCGCACUAUUCUGCCCAGUUCAGUCCACCAUCGGAGCCUAUCAAUGCACAACCGCUUCAAUAUUCUCAGCAGCUGAGGGCUUGCUUUACUUGCGGUGACUUGAGGGACAUUGCAAAGUAUGCCCUCGAGCUUCCAGCAGUUCACAGCAGCAGAGUCCUCGUCCCAUGAUUCAGGCGGCAGGUGAUCCACCGGCCGCCCAACCAACUAGAGCCGGGGGUACAGGCCAUAGAGGUUGAGGUAGGGGCAUAGUGGUGGAGCUCAGUCUUCCAGCGGCAGGGGUCAACCCGCAGCAGAUCAUCCUAGAGACACAGUUCAGAGAGGUGGGGGCCAGCCCCGUUGUUACGCUUUUCAGGCCAGGUCAGAGGCCGAGUCAUUAGAUACUGUGUUACUUGACCCGGAAUCUAUGUAUUCUUAUGUGUUGUCCUAUUUUUCACACUAUUUGAUCAUGCCUUGUGAGGCUUUGGGUUUUCUGUAUAUGUGUCUGUGCCCGUGAACGAUACUAUAGUGGUGGGUCGGGUGCAUCUUUCAUGUGGUAGUAUUUGUGGGUUUUGAGACCGGUGUCAACUUUUAGCUCUUAGAUAUGGUGGACUUUGACGUUAUAUUGGGGAUGGAUUAGUUGUCCCCGUUCCAUGAUAUUUUGGAUUUUCCCACCAAAACCGUGGCCUUGGCUUUAUCAGAUUUUCCACAUUUAAAAUGAAGAGGGAUUUUAAAUCAUUCGACCCGCAACGUGAUUUUGUAUGUGAAGGCUCGAUGCAUGGUUACGAAAGGGUGUUUAGCUCAAUUGGCGUAUGAUCCCGACUCUAGCGCAAAGGUUCCUCCCAUAGGUUCUGUUCCUAUUGUUCGGGAGUUUCCCCGAUGUUUUCCCUUCAGACAUGCAGGGUAUGUCGCCUAAUAUGGAUAUCGAUUUUUGUAUUGAUCUGGCACACGGCGCUCAGCCUAUUUCCAUUUCAACGUAUCGCAUGGCCCCGCCAGAGUUGAAAGAGUUAAAGGAGCAUUUUUAGGAUUUUCUUGAUAAAGGUUUCAUUCAGCCUAGAGUUUUUCAUUAGAGCGCACCAAUGUUAUUGCGAAGGAGAAGGACGGUUUGAUGAGUAUGUGCAUUGAUUAUCGGCAAUUUAACAAAGUGACGAGUAUGAACAAGUAUCCACUACCGAGGAUUUAGGAUGUGGUUCGAUCAGCUUCAAAGCACCAAGGUAUUUUUCAAGGAUAGAUUUGGAAUCUGGUUACCAUCAGUUGAGAAUUAGGGCAUUCGAUGUCCUUAAGAUAGUUUUCGCACACGAUUAUGGCAUUAUGAGUUCUUGGUCAUGUCAUUUGUAUUUACCAAUGCCUCGGCAGCAUUCAUGGAGUUGAUGAACCGAGUGUUCAGGUCCUACUUGAAUUUGUUUGCGAUUGUGUUCAUUGACGACAUUUUUCUAUACCCCCACGGUCAGGAGGAGCAUGAGCAGCACCUCAGAGUGGCUCUGGUAACUACCGAUGUUUCUUAGGGUUAUCUGGUAACUACCGAUGUUUCAUGGAGGGAUUUUCAUCCAUUGCAGCCCUGAUGACUAAAAUGACCCAGAAGGGUUCCCAAUUCAGGUGGUCAGAUGAGUGUGAGGUAAGCUUUCAGAAGCUCAAGACAGCUCUGACUACGGCACUGAUAUUCGUUUUGCCCAUGGGAUCGGGAUGUUAUAGUGUUUAUUGUGAUGCUUCCCAGGAUGGGCUUGCGCAACGUUGAUGGAGAAUGGCAUGGUCAUAGCAUAUGCUUUGAGGAAAUUAAAGAUCCACAAGAAGAAUUAUCCAGUUCAUGACCUAGAGUUGGCAGCCAUUAUUCACGCCUUGAAGAUCUGGAGACAUUAUUUAUAUGGUGUGACAGUGAGGUGUACAUAGAUCACAAGAGCCUUCAUUACUUGUUCAAGCAGAAAGAGUUGAAAUUGAGAAAGCAGAUGUGGUUGGAGUUGUUGAAAGACUAUGAUGUCUCUAUCUUAUACCACCCGGGGAAGGCCAAUGUGAUGGCAGAUAAAUUGAGUUGGAAGUCUGCCAGCAUGGGUAGUCUUGCCUAUAUUCCGGUCAGUCACAGUCCGCUUGACCUGGAUGUUCAAGCCUUGUUCAAUUGAUUUGUGAUAGUGGAUAUUUCUGAGCCUAGCAGGGUGUUGGUUUGCACGGUUUCUCGUUCGUCAUUGAUGGAGAGCAUUCGGGAGCAGCAGUUUGAUGAUCCUCAUUUAUAUGUCCUGAGAAACACGGUAUAGUGGGGAGUUGCCAAGGAAUGACCUUGGGAGAUAAUGGUGUAUUGAGAUUGCAGGGGCGAGUUUGUGUGCCAAAUGUUGAUGGUAUUCGGGAGUCGAUCUUAGUGGGGGCCCACAGUUCUCGGUAUUCUAUCCACCCGGGCGCUGGGAAGAUGUACCAGGGUUUGAGACAGCAUUGAUGGUGGCGCAGAAUUAAGAAUGACAUUGUUACAUAUGUGGCUCGUGUCUGAAUUAUCAGCAGGUUAAGUACGAGCAUCAGAGGCCCGAUGGGUUAUUUCAGUGGAUUGAGCUUCCCGAGUGGAAGUGGGAGAGAAUCACCAUGGAUUUUGUUACUGGCUUUUCGAUGACUCGGAAGAAGUUUGAUGCUAUAUGAGUUAUUGUUGAUAGGCUGACCAACUCAGCAUUUUAUUCUAGUUGCCACCACCUAUUCAUCCAAGAGAGAUGCUGAGAUUUAUAUAAGAGAGAUCGUUCGCCUUCAUGGGGUGCCCAUAUCCAUUAUCUCAGACCUGGGUCCCCAGUUUACCUCGCAUUUCUAAAGAGCCGUUCAGUAUGAGUUGGGCACCCAGAUUCAGUUGAGUACAUCAUUUUACCCCCAGAUGGACAGUCAGUCCGAGAGCGCUAUUCAGAUUCUUGAGGAUAUGCUCCAAGCUUCCGUUGUUGAUAUUGGAGGCUCGUGGGACCAGUUCUUUCCUUUAGCAGAGUUUUCCAACAACAAUAGCUACCCCUCCAGCGUUCAGAUGGCUCCGUAUGAGGCAUUGUAUGGUAGGCUAUGUCGGUCCCUAGUCGGAUGGCUUGGGCCGGGAGAGGCUCGUUUAUUGGGUACAGAUCUAGUACAGGAGGCCUAGGAUAAGUUCAAGAUCAUUCGGGACAGAUUUCGGUCAGCUCAGUCUAAGCAGAAGAGUUAUCAGAUCGUAAGGUCAGGGAUAUUGCUUCAUGGUUGGUGAGAGAGUACUCCUCCGGGUAUCGCCUAUGAAGGGCCAGACGAGAUUCGGAAAGAAGGGAAAGCUUAGACCUAGGUUCAUUGGCCCAUUUGAGAUUCUCUAUCGCGUGGGGGAGGUGGCUUAUAGACUUUCCGUGCUGCCUAGCUUGUCAAUCGUGCAUCAUGUUUUUCACGUAUCCAUGCUUCGGAAGUAUCACGGCGACCCCGCCCACAUGUUAGAUUUCAGUACAGUCCAAUUGGAAUAGGAUCUGUCAUAUGAGGAGGAGCCAGUGAAUAUUUUAGACCGGCAGGUUCGACAGUUGAGGUCGAGGGGUUUUCCUUCAGUGCGUGUUCAGUGUAGAGGUCAGCCUCCUAAGGCGUCGACCUAGGAGUCCCAGUCUUAUAUGCGGAUCUGUUAUCCCCACCUAUUCCCCGACUCUGAUACUUGUUUCUUUUAUCCGUUCGAGGACAAAUGGUUGUUUUAAAGGUAGAGUAUGUGACAAUCCAAAGGGUUAUAAUCAUAAUUCUCCCUUUCACCGUGCUUUCGAGGCCUUGAAAACCUCUUAUUUGGUCUCCUCGAUUUGCGUUCGCAUUCCGAGCACGAAUCCAAAAAGUCAUUACGUGGAAAUAUAUGAAUUCUGUGUUAAAAACUAUGAACAUUGAUAAUAAUAUUGAUAUAGUAGACUUUGGUCAAUAUUUUGAGUAAACGGACCUAGACCGGUGAGGUGACGGCCCCGGAGGGUCCGUAGAAAAAUAUGGGACCCGGGCGUAUUCCCGGAAUCGAAAUCCGAGUACGGAAUUUUUCAAAAAAAUUGUUUAUCUAUAAAUGAUAUGAAUAAUUGAAAUGAAAUGAGUUAGAAGUGAUGGUAUCGGGCUUGUAUUUUGGUUCUGAUGCCCGGUACAAGUCUUAAAUGAACGUUAAGAGCUAUUUGUAAAGUUUGGUUGAAAACGAAUAUCAUUGACAUGUUUCAGAAUUAAAAAUGAGAAAUAAUAGAUUAAUGGAAAAUUGGAAGAAAUCAUGUGUUUUGAGGCUGAUUCUAUGUAAAUGAUGUUAUUUUUGCGAUUUGAUUGCACGAGUAAGUCUAUAGGGUGUUUUGGGGUUAUGUGCAUGUAUAGGUUGGAGCCCCAAGGGCUCGGGUGAGUUUGGAUAGGCCGCGAGUUCAUUUUUGCAUGUUGGAAAAUCUCUGGUGUGCCUGACCUGCAGGCUUCGCACUUGCGACAUUCCCCCUGAUGCAGCAGGCUUGGCAAAAGUGAAGAAAACAUCGCAAAUGCGAUGUCUACAUAUUAGCCAAGUCUUCGCAAAUGUGAGGACUUACUUGCAAAUACGAUUGCCCCAGCCUAAGCCAUGAGUUCGCAAAUGCAAACAUUUCCUUGCAAAUGCGAGUGCCGCCAAUUCUGCCUUGUUCGCAAUUGCAAACAUUUCUUCGCAAUUGUGACAUCCACUCUUCUUCUACCUAGUUUCCAAUUGCAAACACAUUCUCGCAAAUGCGAGAUCUGCACCUACAUAUUUUACACUUGGCCGAUUUUAUAUCUCACUUUUCAUAUUUUCAAAACCCAAACUUCUAUUGGCGAUUUUCUCUAAACUCUCUCUUUCCCAAAUCAAUUGUAAGUCAGCAUUUACUCAAUUUCUUCAAUCAUUAACAUCUUUUAUCAUGAUUUCAUCUUAAAAUCAAAGCUUUCAAUGGGUAAAAAUGGGGAUUUGGGAUUGAACCUAGUUUUUCUCAAAUUGGGAAUUUGGACCUCGUGGGGAAAUGGGUAACCCGAUUUUGGUUCGAACCUCAGGUUUUGACCACAUGGGCUCGGUGGCGUUUUGGGAAAUUUUGAGCAAAAAUUUGGGAAAUUCAUUCUCAUGCAUUCAAAUUUAUUUAACUAGCAUUUGUUGAUUUAUUAGAGUAAAAUUAUUAUUAGAUUCGACCAGUUGUGUGGGGAAUUCGAGGGUAAAGCUAUCCUACAGAUGUGAGUUGAGUUUGGAGCUUUGGAGGUAAGUCUUUGAUCUAACUUUGGUUUGAGGGAAUAGGAUUAUAGUGUUUGAUUGCUAAAUCUAAAUGAUCGAGUACGGUGUAUAGGCAUGGUGACGAGUAUCUAUACACCGGUAUCUAGCAUGACUGUGAGUCGUAGUUGCUUUUAAACUCAAAAGAUGAGGAAAAACUGAGUUAAUUACUCGCUAAAUAAAUUAUGAAGUGAUAGUUGAGGAGCAAAUGAGUCACAGAAGGAAGUGUGGUAUUUUUCCCUUACCGAGACUUAUUGUUGAUUCGUUUCCCCUUGCUGGGACUUAUUGUUUAUUAGUUCUCCCUUGCCGGGAUAUUUGGGCUGUUAGCUAUACCCUUGCUCGGUUUAACUGUUAUAUUGUCGAUCUUCCCUAACGGGACCUCCCUUGGAGAGAUUAUUAGAGAUAAUCAAUUAUAAUAUUGGAUCAUGUGGAACGCCGACAACUUAUGAAUUAUAACACGGGAUUGUCUAGCAUGUCGACCACAACUUAUAUUGAUGAUUGUUAUUGGCCUAAGAUGACGGUGACAUUGCGCAUGGAGAAAAUGGGAUCGUGUGGCGCGCCGUCCACUUAUAUACCACAUUAUGGGAUCAUGUGGCGCGCAUUCCACUUAUUUACUACACUAUGGGAUCGUGUGGCACGACGUCCACUUAGAUUAUACAAUAUAGGAUCGUGUGGCGCGCCGUCCACAGUAGAUAUAUGUGCCAUGAAACCCAGAAUAGAUAUGCUAUUGUUUUUGAUGUUCUAUUUUCAUAUAGUAUUCCCUUAUAGCAUAUCACCUCUUAGCUUUAUUUGUAUUAUUUUGUUAUUGUUUCUUUCUCGUACUUGUAUAUCAUAUUGCACAUGUGGUAGGUCCUGUAUAGCCUCGUCACUACAUUGCCGGGGUUAGGCCAUGCACUUACCAGCACAUGGGGUCGGUUGUGCUGACGCUACACUUCUGAGCCUUUUGUGCACAGGUCACGAGACAGCUUACGGACCGCAGUAGUAGAUUGGUAGUGUGCCUUCAGUCCAGAGGCUCCUAGGUAGUUCGCUGGCAUUCGUGGGCCCCGAGUCUCUUCCAUUUCAUUUCAGUUUGUUAAUUUGUAUCGAGAUAGACUCUUGUGUAAUUUCUUUCAGACUGAUGCUUGUACUAUUCCUUAGUAGUCCGUGAGUAGUGACACCAGAUACUGGGUAGAGACUUGUUACAAAUUUCUGCACUUUACUAUUAUUUUCGUUAAAAGUGUUCCGCAUAUUUCUAAUUAUUUAUUUCAGUUUAUUAUAUUGUUUAGAUUAAAGCUUGUGAAGUAAUUAAAAAGGUUGGCUUGCCUAGCUCCGAUAGUAGGCGUCAUCACGACCCCGGUGGUGGGAAAUUUCGGUCGUGAUACCUAACACCUUUCCUCGGGUCAACAGAAUUCCUUACCUUGAAAAUCUGGUUCACAGACUCCAAUUGGGAAGCUAAAACUUUUCCUCGGUUUGGGAUUCAAGAUAAAUCGGUGACUUGGGACACCAAAAGCCAAACCUUCUCCAAGUGGCGACCCUAAAUUUAUAAUCCCAAUUGGAAUAUGUCACAUUAAAUGAAAAAACUUCCUCAUACAUUUAUCCUUUGGGGUAGAUGUAAAAAAGAGAUGUUACAUCUCUGGCAACUCUGCUGGGGAAACAAACCCAGAACUUCGGUUCAGGUUUAAGAAUUAGAGCUUAGAAUAAUUGUUGUGUUUGGCUUUAUCUAAUUUUCCUACAUAGUUCAUCCUAAAUGUGCUAAGUGCUUUACCACUUUGAUAUUAUCUAUACUGUAUAUAAACUGUGCUGAAUCCCUUCUUUUCUCACCCCUGAGGAUGUGCUUACUGGUUCAGACUCCCUAUUCUGUUAUUGUCAUACCUUAAUAUAAGAAAGAGGCCGGACAAGUUACUAAGCUGGAUCCCUAGUAGGAACGCUUAUUUGUAUCAUGUUGCAUUUGACUUAGGUGACUCGACACAGGGGUUGGGUCCGUCUAGGACUAGCAACCUAUACUGAAAAAGACCAUCCCAAUGCAUCUUAUUUGUUUUCCGUGCAUUUAUUUGUUUCGGGACUGCAUGCUAGCCGACUUCAUAUAUCGGGAAUAUUGCAAAAUUGAGAAAAAGAGAAAAGGAGGGAAAUAAUAGUGUAGAGAGUUAAUUGCCUAUUUUAGAAAAAAAAAAAACCAAUGCCCAAAUACUGUUGAAACCAUACCGAAAUUUUGAAAAUGAAAAAGAAAAAUAUUUUAUUUUAAAAUAGUUUGUUCUACUCAAGACUGCAAAAAAAGUCCUUAUUUUUUAAUAGGCUGUUUUAUUGUUUGUUGAAAAGAAAAAGAAAAGAGUCUUAUUUUAAAAAAUAGUUAAUUUUCUCUUCCCUAACUAUGCUGGUUUGAUUCUCACCAGACGUGAAAUACGUAGGCAACCCUCACCGGGUCCAACCUCUCCUUUGCACAAAUAGCCAAAAAAGCAAAAUUUUUUAAUUUCAUCAUGAAUAAGUCGGGUGACUCCAUUUUUGUCAAAAAUAAGCCGAAUGUCCCUAAUAGGGUGGUGUCAGAAGGCCAUUUUUGCAAGAACAGCCACCUUGCAUCAUUUUCAACGGUUAGCAGGAACAUCCUUAAAAUCUUCUUUACGAAGAACUGAAAGGCUGCAUCCGCAAAAUCGGCUUUUUGAUUUAAAUUGGAAAUUUGAACAAAAUAGUAUCGCUUCUUUUCAUUUAGGUCAAAAUAAGUGAUUAAAUCACCUUACUAAAUGUGCAGGAUGAGCACGACUCAAAAUGAACCUUUCUCAAUCAUGACUAAACUCCAUCUGGAGUUGUGUCUAUGGUGGGAUGAUUUGGGUUGAGCACGAUUCAAAGGGAACCUUUCUCAAUCAUGACUAAAAUUCCUCUAGACUUGCGUCUAUGGUGGGAUGAUUUGGGUGAAGAAGGAAAAGACGAGGUCAAUAAGUAUUUGAAAGGGCUUGCUUGUUUGUUAGAGAUCGUUCCUUGGGGAGACCUCACAAAGCAUUGAUCACAUGUUGAAACCCGGCACAUAAUGUGUUCCAUUUUUCGCACUUUAAACUCACUCCGAUCCAAAAGGAAAUAAUCGGAUACAUAAGAAGUGCUGAGGUUCCGUUAAGGCACAAAUACUUGAUUACCCCGAGAAUUGUCGGUGUGCACCGGUUUUUAAACACAUUUAAGAUAUCUAAGACAAUCCAUAACCUUGAUUUGGAAAAACAAUUUUGUACUCCGCACUUUAUAUUUGACAUGUAUGGUCAUAUCGAUUAGUUCAACAAUCCGGGCAACUAUUUAUGCAGCAAAAGUAGCUGCCAAAAAUAUGUUGAGCAUAGACGGGUGGCUUUUAUGAUAACCUUUUUGGGCCUUUUGGUGUUCCCAAGGAAAGACAGAAAUAUUGAAAUAAAAAUAGAUGGGUCGUCAGUACUUUUCUCACUUAAGAUGAAUGCACUCUUGCGCCUAUGAUUGUAUCUAAUAUCUUCCGAGCUCUCACAAUCUGCAGAGCCGGAGAAGACUUUUUGGAGGGGUGUCACUUGUUGUUGCAGAUGUGAAUAACCAAACACCUCUGUCAUCGUGACCAGUUCCUGAGUUAUGGUUCAUACGAGAAAACCUUCAUAGAGGAGUUCUACACAAGAAUUAAUGGGGUCAAUUUACCUUAAGGGUUACGGCAUAGAACUCAUACUUUCAGACCCUCACUACUAGUCAAAUACAAUGGACAUUUGGAUAGUUGCCUGUCGACGAAGUCAUAUAUGCCAGCAGCUAGGCCCAACUAUCUCUUGAUGGGACUUAGGAGCAUUCAGCCCUAUGCUCCAUAUCGGGUUUUGAGGCAACUCGGGAGACGUCAAGUGCUACCAAAUGACGACGAUCUUAGUUUCCAGGUGCUCGAGAUUGGUCCUGAUGGACAAGAUAGUGAAGCAAAUGUCCGUCAAUUCUGGAGUGAAUGUCAAUAUUUGGCAGUGAACACCUAUGUGAGGGGCCGAUCUAGAGGAGAAGUUUUGCCCGAAUAUCAUGGUUGGUACCGCAGGGAAAUUGAAUUCGAAAAUCCAUCACCUACAGGACUUUACCGAGUCAUCGCAGGAACAUUGGGGUUGGUUAGAAAAGGAAAGGGAAUACAAGCACAAGGUAGGAAAAUCGGAGAAGCAUGUCCAACACUUAAAUUUGAUAACAGUGUGCAAUAUUCAGCUGACGAGGGGGAUAAAAAGAAGCUAGCUAAAGAAAAUGAGGCCAUGAGAGCCCAAAUUCGACAGAUGAGGAUAGAUGGUGACAAACAACAAAGGAGUUGGUCGGAUGAGCGGUUGAUAUAGGGGUUGAAAGAGGAAAGCAUUGAGUGUCGGUACAAGCUGAAGAAAUUUGAGAGUAACAUAGCGGUACUCCGGGCAUAGUGGUAAAAAAGAAAAGAAGAGCGCACCUAUUACUUGCAGUAAUUGAAGAAGGAUUAUGAAAAAAUCAUUGCCAAUCUGAAAAGAAAGGUGACCACUCUUGAGGAUAAAGAAGCUAAGAAAGCCAAAGAUUUUGAAACCGAAAGAGGACACAACUAUGACUUACUGACCCGAAUGGAAGUAGAAAUACAGUAGCUGCAGAAUCAGCAUCUUCAUGAUUCUCAGGUUUUCGAAGCCCGUAAUAAUCAAAUAAGGCGCCUGCUCAUAGAAAAAGGUCGAACGAGGGACACGAUUGAGAUCAUUGCCCAUGCCAUCAUUAAGAGAUGUCGAAUGUGUGAAGACAUGACCUGCACUACCUUCUUUUCGGCAGUAAUGAUUUUUUUCAAUCGGACAAUGUAUGAGCUGAAGCAACUUGAAAGGGAUCUUGCACCUAAGCCCGCGGCGAAGCCGAACAAUGCCCCGCAGGCACCCACUUUUGAAGCAUUAAGGUAUUCAUAGCUCAAUCUGUAUUUUUUGUUUUUAGAGUCUAGGUUCUGUCUGUUUUCUUUUUGCAUCAGAGUAUGUCGGAGUCCCUAUUUCGGAAGAUAGCCCACUCUCGAGCGUCCCAGCCUUAGAGUCUGCAGCGGCCGAAGAAACAGAAUGUUAUGUUUGAGAGUAAUUGAGAUGUGGGAUGCAUGGACAAACAUAAAAGAACCCCUGAGUGUCAUCCCUGGAUUUCCUGAGUUGUUCCCAAGACCAACGGGUACCUCUAACAUUCCCGUCAGUGACCCAACAUCCUAGCCAACUAUAUCUUCUCAUUUUAUGGGAGCAAGUUCUUAGGUUCACCUCAAAGUAUUCAUACCUGGGAUAGCUCCUAACAUCUUCACUGCUCUACCAUCCUCUGCUACAACACAGCCCGCAAUCGUAAGACCGGCAUUUGAUCUAUCGGCCUUCACUUAUCAUACUCCUACUUACCAACCAGACCCAUCUCAGUACCCUACAUAUUCUUAUCCUCAGCCACCACCAUAUCAUUUCACACCAGAAAAAGAUAAAACUCCUAAUGCUUCUACACAAGAGGAGAUGGCAAAAAGAAUGAGUAGUAUUGAGCAGAGUUUAAAGAAUAUGAAAGGGUUGAGUGGGCAAAAAAAGUUUCUUAUACAGAUAUGUGCAUGUUCCCUCAUGUGCAUCUACCCUCAGGGUUGAAAACACCAAAAUUUGAAAAGUAUGAUGGGCAUAGAUCCCAUCGCUCACUUGAAAAAGUAUUGUAAUCAGCUAUGUGGGGCGGGCGAAAAAGAAGAGUUGUUGAUGGCUUACUUCGGAGAGAGCAUAGUGGGCAUUUCUUAAGAAUGGUAUAUGGACCAAGAUGUCUACCAAAGGUACAUCUGGGAUGAUCUUUCUAGAGACUUUGUAAGGCAAUUUUAAUAUAACAUUGAUAUUGCGCCAGAUCGGAAUUCUUUGACAAACUUGAAGAAGAAAUCCUCGGAAAGUUUCAGAGAAUAUGCUUUUAAAUGGCGUGAACGAGCAUCGAGAGUGAAACGUCCCAUGGAUGAAAUAGAAAUGGUUAUUUUUUUCCUUCAGGCCUAAGAACCCGAUUACUUCCAAAACAUGAUGUCGGACAUGGGUAAACCAUUUGCAGAGGCCAUCAAAAUCGGGGAGAUGGUAGAGAAAGGUUUGAAAACGGGAAGAAUUUUGAGUUAGUCAGCCAUCUGGGCAACCUCCCAAGACAUCCAAGGUGGGUCUGGAGGAAUGGCCAAAGGUAAGAAGCAAGAGGAAACGGUUAUGGCAGCAUUAAGAGGAGAAGAUACCGGGCUCCUAGGCCUUUGAUUUCCGAAAGAACCCCUCAACACUAUUAUCCUUAUGCCGAAAUGGCUUAUGCUCCCCCACCUUACGCAGUCAUGAAUGCUCAACCUUUCAUCCGGCCACAACCAUAGGCCAAUAUAAAUCAACCUACAUUCCAAAGAAACCAACCUCCUCACCAGAAUUACUAUAAUCCUCGUCCUCCACAGAAUAAUUUUCCUCCUCAUGAGCCGCCCAGGAAACAAACCUUCACACCCAUUGGUGAACCAUACUCUGAUCUAUUCCCUAAGCUUGUCUAAAUGGUCUUAUUGCAGCCAGUUCCUCAAAAAAGACAAAAUCUAUAAUCGCCUGCUUAAAAAGCCGGUGUCAGGUGUGCUUAUCAUUAGGGAGAAAAAGGGCAUGAUACCGAUGAUUGUUGGACCUUGAAAAGGGCAUUGGAGAAUUUGAUAGAGCAACGGAAGAUAGUGUUAAGGGACAAGUAGGUCACAAAUGUCACUAACAAUCCGUUGCCAAUUCACAAUAACGGGCUAGUAAUCGGAAUUAUUUGUGAAGACAUGGAGUUUGAUCCAGCUUUGAAAGCUAUAAAUGCUAUUGCUGAUGCGGAAAGGAAGCCUAAGGUAACCUCAAAGCAGAAUAAAGGGGAAAAGAAGACAAACUGUCAAGACUGAACCUGAGAAGAAGGUCGAAACAAAAGCAGAGAUAGUGCCUCCUAAAAAUGGGGUUCUCUAUGUUCUGCGAGGUUUUGAAGAAAAGCCGUUAGUUGUGAGGACUCCAAAGAAAUUUGAACUGAAAAAGGGAACACCAAUGUAUGUGCCAAAAGGAGCCUAUGUGGUUUGGGGGACGAAUAAACCACUUCGGCUGAAUGAGCAAGUGGUUAUCGGACACGUGCCAUAGAAGCCAAUGUCGGACCCGUCUGCUGUGCCAUGGAACUAUUAGCAGACGAUGGUUACAUAUAAAGGUAAGGAAAUAACGAAGAACUUCCAAGAAAUACCUUUGCUGAGAAAUAUUCAAAUAUACAAGAGAUAAACAGUGCCACGCAAAAGCGCUUUCCACCUAAGAAGCCUGUGAGUGUUGAGGAAGCAGAGGCGUUCUUCCAAAAAAUGAAGGUGUCUGAUUAUGAAGUAGUUGAUUAGUUGUGAAAGUAUCCUGAAUAGGUUUCUAUGUUGUCUUUGUUAAUAAGGUCUGCUAAGCAUCAGAAGAUCUUAAUAAGAACUCUUAAUGAGGCGUAUGUUCUAGCCGAGACUUCGUUCGAACCGCUUGAAAGAAUGGUAGAAAGGUUCUUCACUGUCAAUCAAAUUUCCUUGAGUAAAAAUGACUUGCCUCCUAAGGGAGCGGCUCACAACAAAGCUUUACAUCUGACUAUCAAGUGUCAAGCUUUUUAUGUCAAGCGAGUAAUGGUGGAUGGGGGAUCGGGUGUUGACAUUUAUCCAUGCUCCACACUGCAAAGAAUGGAAAUCGGGACGGGAAGGAUUUGUCCCAAUUACAUAUGUGUAAGAUCCUUUGAUGAUAUUAAAAGGGAUACCAACAGAGAGAUAGAUCUGGUAUUAACCAUAGGUCUGGUGGAUUUUGAGGUUGUUAGCUUCAAGGUUUCACGUAUUAAUUUUGAUGAUUAUAAACUAACAUGAGUAUUAAUCAAAGAACACUUACUUGUGGUAAUCUUAUUUCUGCAUAGAUUUAUUCACAAAAAAAAUAUGAUGGUAAAGAUCGAGAUAUAUACGGGAAAGAAAAUAUCGUGUGAAGAUUUUAUCAUGGAAGAUUAUUUUCAGAGAGUUAUUCUCCAAGCAUCAUAGAAGGAGUAAUAUUUGAAAGUCAAGAUUCAGAUAUUGGAUGGCUUACAAUAAUAUCAGAAGAAAAAUCUAUGGAACUUAUGGAUGGAAGCUUUUCAACAUCUUGAAAGGAAAGUUGCUAAAAUCAUGGAGAAGAUUUAUUAUUUUAUGGAAGGAAGUUACUACAUGAAAAAGAUACUACAAAUCAAAGGAACAAUAUAUUUAUAUUAUGAAAAGAUAUUAUUUUCCAGUAUAAAGAAAGGAAUAUCUUCAAUAUAAGAAGAAUAUUUUUUUUGUGGAAAGAAAAUCUAAUAUGGAUGUAGUGCAAUCAAUAUUAUGGAAGGAGAUUAUUUUCCAAGAUCAAGAAAGGAAUAUCUCUAAUAUAAUAAGAGUUCAAAGAUAUAUUGAGAUCUUCAUAUUGAAGAAAAUAUUCAUGAUCCAAAGUCAAAAGGGAAAAAUAUUAUAUAUUCAUGAAGGAAGAUAUCCUAUUCAAUUUUAUAUAUAUAUAUAUAUAUAUGUAUAUACCUAACCUUCUUUGCGGACCCAUUUUGGUGCGGGAUGGCGGUGCAAUAGGCACAUAUACUGNNNNNNNNNNNNNNNNNNNNNNNNNNNNNNNNNNNNNNNNNNNNNNNNNNNNNNNNNNNNNNNNNNNNNNNNNNNNNNNNNNNNNNNNNNNNNNNNNNNNNNNNNNNNNNNNNNNNNNNNNNNNNNNNNNNNNNNNNNNNNNNNNNNNNNNNNNNNNNNNNNNNNNNNNNNNNNNNNNNNNNNNNNNNNNNNNNNNNNNNNNNNNNNNNNNNNNNNNNNNNNNNNNNNNNNNNNNNNNNNNNNNNNNNNNNNNNNNNNNNNNNNNNNNNNNNNNNNNNNNNNNNNNNNNNNNNNNNNNNNNNNNNNNNNNNNNNNNNNNNNNNNNNNNNNNNNNNNNNNNNNNNNNNNNNNNNNNNNNNNNNNNNNNNNNNNNNNNNNNNNNNNNNNNNNNNNNNNNNNNNNNNNNNNNNNNNNNNNNNNNNNNNNNNNNNNNNNNNNNNNNNNNNNNNNNNNNNNNNUAUAUAUAUAUAUAUAUAUAUAUAUAUACACUACGAUUUUGAAAGAGAAGUGUUGGGUUUUCUACUAUUUCAAGGCAAAACUAUUGAAAAGAUAUUCCAAAUCACUACAAGAUUUUGAUAUGAAAAUAAAUCAUAUGUUCAAGAUCUAUGUAAAGAAGGGAAGCAACAAAUCAAUAUUGAAAGGAAAAAAGGGAGACAAAGUGAGAUUUUAUUUCCAUAAGUCAAGAAGCAAGCAUCGACCCAAGAUCGACCAUAAAAGAAGAGGAGCAAAGCUCUUGAAAGAAAUUUACAAUUAUGGAGAAGCAAUCUGGAUGGAAUAAAAAGAUUGCAUGGGAUUUACUACCCAAGGAAAAAUGUUUAUUUGUGGGAAAUAAUCAAAAAUAGGAAGAAUCAAUUAAAGGAGCACAAAGAAUAUUUUCUUUAGAAGGAAAGCCAUCAUAUAUCAUUGACCAUUAUAUUCUGCAUUUAAUGAGAAAAAUUAGCAAUGAUCAUAUUGGAGGCAACAAUAUAUGUUGAAGAGCAACCCAGAAGAAGAUUCACGCAUCCUUCUAUACAAAUUGUCUAUCAUCCUACAAGUUCUUUAUUCUAAUCUUAACAAGCAUUAUAAUUCACUUUAGUAGAUUUAUUGUGUACAAGAAAGAGAGAAGAGAGAUAGAAAAAUUGGAGAUGUAGUGUGUUUAAAGAGGUCAUGUCAUUGUUUGUUUCUGUUGCGAGCGAGUGAAAACCAAAUGGUCGUUGUUGAUGAGUGAGUGAAAACCAACCCUGUAAAUAUUGGUGGUGAACGUUGAAAAUCACCCAAGCUGUACUCAAGACAAAUUUACGAAGAGCUCCAAAAGACAACACUCUUGAAACCCGAGAGGACUGGAUUAAGAUACCACAUUGGUUUCGAAACAGUAUAAAAUCCUUGGUGUCAUUUACUUUAUCGCACAUAUAUUAUAUUCUGUUCCUUUACUAUUUGUUGUGAUUAACACCUAUUUAAAUCAAAAGGACUAAAAGUUAUGUGCAGGUUGUCCCCGCAUAAGUGGACUAGGUUGAAAGAGUAGUCGACUAAAAAUACAAAAAAUCUACAAUUCACCCCCCCCCCUCUUGUACUUUCAAUUGGUAUCAGAUCCAGGUCUCACAUCUUUAUUUUUUGCUUAACAGCAAGUGAGAAAAGAUUCAUGGCAGGUCAUGAAAUUAUUGGAAUCGUAUUUCAAGAGGGAUACUCAAUAAGAAGGACACCUUACUUCAACAGUCAAUACUAUAUCCAUUGGAAAGAAAUAAUUAAGGUUUAUGUUCAAUCAAUAGAUUAUCGAUCUUGGUUAGUUUUUCAUAAUGAACCAUGACCUAUUUCGAACAACAAUGAUGGAAAGAAGCUUGUAGAAUGGGAAUCCAUGUUGAACUACACAAAAGAACAAUUGAAUAUUAUGCAAACAAAUGAUAGAGCAAUCAACAUGAUCUAUUGUGCGAUUAGUGUAGAAGAAUAUUAGAGAAUAUCCACCUGUGAGACUGCUAAAGAUAUAUGGGACCGAUUGGAAAAUAUCCACGGAAACGCCAACAAAGUAAAGGAAAUUGAAUCCAUGUCAACCAUUAAAGAAUCUGAAAAUGGUGAAAAUCGACAAGACUUGGUCAUGAUACCCUGGAUGAGAAGAAGGAAGAGUUGAAAGAAGCAUAAUAGAAAAUCUCAAUCCAUCCAGAAUCAUCAGAAGAAUUGGAAGAAUGAGGUUCAACAACAAGAAAAUAUAUGCUGCUACAGAUGUGGUAAACUUGGACAUAUGAAAUUCAAAUGUCCCGGACCCAAGAAGAAAAAACAUAGAAUCUCAACUUGGAUUGAUAAGGAUGAUCAAGAAGAAAUGACAAACACAUGUCUCAAGAAAAGAGAAGAAACUGAAGAGGCAUGCUUUAAUGCUAUUCUGGAUUGUGAUCUCAAGAAAAAAAUCACAAAUCAUGGAGGGAUGAGAAUGAAUCUGAAGAAGAAAACAAUCACGAAAGAAUGGAGAAUCAUUGUUUCAUGGAAAAAAGAGAAAUUAACAAGGUAUGUCACACUCCUAUUACAUAUUGUAAUAACUGCGAUGAAUUGCAGGACGAUAAAGAUAUCGUUUUCAAGGACUUUAAGAAAGUUCUAAAUGAAUAUCAUAAGUUGAGGAAGGAUAAGAAGAAUUGGGAGAUCCAAAUUGAAGAAUAUAAGAAGUUGACGCAUGAGUAGAAAGAUUGGGAGAUCCAACUUAAAGAAUGCAAUAAGUUGAGAAAUUAAAAGAAUGAGUGGGAUAUUACGUUUAAAGAAUAUCGAGUUGAGAACAGCUUACUUCAAGAAGAAAAUUCUAAGCUUCACAAACAAAUUAGUAGAUUGCACAAACCCCCCAGCCACUACUUUGACCAAUCAAAGUCAUCUCUUUGGCUUAACAACUAUAAGUCGGUUGAAAAGGGAUCUACUGAUAAAUGUCCUACUUUGAAUAAGUUGACUGAGGAAAUCUCCAAGUCAAUUAAUAAGGCAGCUGCAUGUAAACACUCUUAUUCUCAUAUUACAUGCCACUACUGUGUCAAUUCUGGACAUAAAGUAUUUUCUCGUAAUUAUGUGAAAAGUUAUGCUAGAUCAAAAUAUGUUUGGAGACCAAAAAUUGUUACAUGCAUCGCAAACUAUUCAAUCUACUAACCAUGAAGGACCCAAAAAGAUUUGGGUACCAAAAAUAAACUAAUUUUUUUGCAAGAACUCUCUAGUCCAGCAAUAAAAAAGGAUUAAAGAUGUUUGCAUAUUGGUUGAUAGAGGAACGUGCUUUAAAAUUUUACAUAUUCACAUAGGAUGAAUGAAAUACGACAUAUGAUCUAAAAGAGUGAUUGGUAUCACUAAGUUUAUUCAAGUUCUUCUCGCUGCAUAUAUUCAACUAUUGGUUUAGUAAAGUAUAACCUAGUUUAUGCAUAUUAGAUUUUGCAAGAACUCUCUAGUCCAGUAAUAAAAAGGAUUAAUGAUGUUUGCAUAUUGGCUGGUUGAGGAACGUGCUUCAAGAUCUUACAUAUUCAUAGAGAAUGAAUGAAAUACGACAUCUGGCCUAAAAGAGUGAUUGGUAUUACUAAGUUUUAUUCAAGUUCUUCUCGCUGCAUAUAUUUAGCUAUUGAUUUAGUAAAGUAUAACCUAGUUUAUGCGUAUUAGGCAUCUCCUUGCAUUCUUGUCCACUGGCUACAUCACAUUGUUAUUUUAUUGAUAUUAUUCUUUAUCCAUGAAUUAGAGACUUUAAAUAACCUGAGUACAUGUUUUUUAUGAACCAUGUCAUUUGCAUAAGAUAUUAGGAUAAGAAAGAAUGUAAUUAUAUUUAUAUUGUACAAACUUGACUCAUGCCUAUAUGCGUCUUAGAUUAUUCUUGAAAUGAAUUAUGUGUGUGAUAGUAUUUUCUUGGUAAGAAUACUAAUGCCUCACUCAAGACCAAGAAAGAUAUCUAACUUUGAGGCCCCUUCUGCAAUUGAAUCAUUUUGGGUAAUAUCAAAUGCUUGAAGAUGAAAGGUAUGUAUCUCUAUUAUUAGUUUUUAUUGGGUUAUGUUCUGGAUGUAUACUAGUGGACAUCUUAUAUGAGAUAUAGAAGGAAGAAAAAUUAAGUGUUGAUUAUUUCUAUCUUUUUGUUGCAAAUACCAAAACCUUGAAAGGUAUAUAUAUAUAUAUAUAUAUAUAUAUAUAUAUAUAUAUAUAUGUUUCUAUUGAUGAUUAUCCUUACUUUUCAUAGGUCAUAUAUUUUUAAAUUAAAAAUAAUGUUUUUGCUAUGAUCAUCAAUGUGAGUUUUAACAGUAUUUGUUUGACAUUUACUUGUAACAAGCAUGAUCCUUCACAUUUUAGUUUGGCGCAUGAAUUGAAUGCAAGUUUGAAAAUAAAGCAUCAUUUUUUGCAUAAAAUAUCAUCAUUGGCUUAUAUGUGCUUUAAUAUUUACAUUGGAUCUUAUCUUAAAUGAAUUUCUAUAUUAGCUUUGGGAAGGGAGAAAAUUAAUUUUUUGUUAUCUUAUUUCUUUUGGUUGCAACUUUCUUGGUAAGACUCUUAAUAUAUUCCUUAUUCAUUAUUACUUCGAGUUAUAAAAUUUAGAAUAUUAGGUAUAGAAAAAUCACAAUAUGCGUGGUUUUCUUUACACUAAUACUUUUCUAAGAAAUUUGUGAAUAAGAAUGGAGAACUUGCAGUGGAUAGCUUGCAAUAAAUUGCUAGUGACAUAUUUUUAGCAGUUAAACUAGACAGUCUUGAAGAAGCAUUAAAACAAUAUAUGUUGGAUUCUAGCAAUACGAGACUUGUUGAACGAA